rnacentral:rRNA from 1 species
UAGUGUUGCUACGCGUCAGUAAUGGAUGGCGAGUACACGGUGGGGACCGCUGGCGCUAAGUCAGAGGAAGGGGUGGUCGACGGUAGGUCAGUAUGCCCCGAAUAUCCCGGGCUACACGCGGGCUACAAUGGACAGGACAAUGGGCUACUACACCGAAAGGUGGCGUCAAUCUCUUAAACCUGUCCUUAGUUCGGAUCGAGGGCUGAAACUCGCCCUCGUGAAGAUGGAAUCCGUAGUAAUCGCAUUUCAAAACAGUGCGGUGAAUACGUCCCUGCUCCUUGCACAAAA